GAUGAACGCUGGCGGCGUGCCUAAUACAUGCAAGUCGAGCGAACAGAUGAGGAGCUUGCUCCUCUGACGUUAGCGGCGGACGGGUGAGUAACACGUGGAUAACCUACCUAUAAGACUGGGAUAACUUCGGGAAACCGGAGCUAAUACCGGAUAAUAUAUUGAACCGCAUGGUUCAAUAGUGAGAGACGGUUUUGCUGUCACUUAUAGAUGGAUCCGCGCCGCAUUAGCCAGUUGGUAAGGUAACGGCUUACCAAGGCAACGAUGCGUAGCCGACCUGAGAGGGUGAUCGGCCACACUGGAACUGAGACACGGUCCAGACUCCUACGGGAGGCAGCAGUAGGGAAUCUUCCGCAAAGGGCGAAAGCCUGACGGAGCAACGCCGCGUGGGUGAUGAAGGUCUUCGGAUCGUAAAACUCUGUUAUUAGGGAAGAACAAAUGUGUAAGUAACUAUGCACGUCUUGACGGUACCUAAUCAGAAAGCCACGGCUAACUACGUG
rnacentral:rRNA from 1 species